AGAGUUUGAUCAUGGCUCAGGAUGAACGCUGGCGGCGUGCUUAACACAUGCAAGUCGAACGAUGAAGCCCAGCUUGCUGGGUGGAUUAGUGGCGAACGGGUGAGUAACACGUGAGUAACCUGCCCCUGACUCUGGGAUAAGCCCGGGAAACUGGGUCUAAUACCGGAUAUGACUUUUGACCGCAUGGUUGAGGGUGGAAAGAUUUAUCGGUUGGGGAUGGACUCGCGGCCUAUCAGCUUGUUGGUGAGGUAACGGCUCACCAAGGCGACGACGGGUAGCCGGCCUGAGAGGGUGACCGGCCACACUGGGACUGAGACACGGCCCAGACUCCUACGGGAGGCAGCAGUGGGGAAUAUUGCACAAUGGGCGCAAGCCUGAUGCAGCGACGCCGCGUGAGGGAUGACGGCCUACGGGUUGUAAACCUCUUUCAGUAGGGAAGAAGCGAGAGUGACGGUACCUGCAGAAGAAGCGCCGGCUAACUACGUGCCAGCAGCCGCGGUAAUA
rnacentral:rRNA from 1 species